AAAAUUCUCCUAUGGAUGCCCUGCACCUUCUUUAUACUACUUAAAGCCUUUAGAAUUCUUUCCUUGUACACUGCAUUUUUUGAGCUAUUACCACUUCUGGCAGUGGGCACAACUCCAUUGUUGAAGGUUGAUAAUAUAUUUUUAAAGUGAUACGAGGGUGAUUUAUCUGAGUUGGAGUUGUACUUUGUUAUUGUUAAUAAUGAAUUUGGUGAGCAAACAUUAGAAGAGCUGAUUCCAGGUGGCAAGAAUAUACGAGUUGUGAAUGAUAAUGUCAUCACAUUUAUUCAUCUUGUUGCCAAUCAUCGCCUCAAUACUCAGAUUCGUCUACAAAGCUCUCAUUUCUUAAGGGGAUUUCAACAGCUUAUAUAGAAAGAUUAGAUUGACAUGAUUAAUGAAAAUGAACUC